rnacentral:lncRNA from 1 species
UUUAAAUUCUAGAAAAAUUACUAAUAUAAUAGAAAUGUAUGGCAUUUCAACGGUUAUAACUUUAAUGUGUAAAAAAAAAAUUUAGUUUUCCAAAUUUAAAAAUAGUCAAUUAAGACUGUCUAAUGUUCACUUUCAGACCACUGUGGGCCGUCAUCGCAGUACGAUAUAUUGCCUUUAUUGUAGGUAUAUUGUAUUUAUUUUUGAAUAUUUCCACUGGUUUUUUUGUGAUAAUAGUUUAAUGCUGCCAAUUGCCGAACGCUCAGUACAUUUGUACUGAUUCAUAUUAUUGACAUAAAAUAUUUUAGUCAUACGUCUUAAAUUAAACAUAAUAUUAUGAUUUAUGUUCUAUGGUGCUAUCUAUACCAAGUUUAGCUAGUAAUAGACCUGCAAGCGUUAUUAGAUUGUUUUUAAUAUAUAUACAUUUUUUUUAUGAUAGACUCUCUAGAAAUUCGCUACAAAAAAAACAACCGACUUAAAAUUAUCCCACACUAUCCCACACUAAUUAUCCCACACUAUGAACCAUGUAAAUGAUAUGGUGCAAACAUCCCGGUGCAUUAUUUUUCACACCGGUUAAGUCUAGCGAAUUUCUAGUCUAACUAAUAGUCUAAUAGUCUAAUAGUCCAUGAUAUACCGUAUAGGUACUGAGUAUAAUAUAUAAGUUCUAUGGAUUUAUCAUAUUUAAUAAUAUAUUUUAUAAUAUCUAUGGCAAUCGUCAAUUGUCGAAAUUUGUCGGCGACGAUUAACAAUUCUAAUAAUUUCAGCAAAUACUAUUGUAUUAUUAGUAUAUAUAUUGUAAUAUAUAUUGUAUAUAAUAUAUUGUAUUUGAUUUGAGUGAACAAAAAAAUAAUUAGCCAUCAAUAUAGACGGACAGUUCGUUAAGCUGUAUAUAUCACGAUUUAUGUUUAAAAUAUUUCGAUACUAUCAAGUUUCAGUUCGGAGCGAGAUGAAGAUGGAUGAAGAUAGCUGUUUCUUCGGCGACGGCGGCACUGUAGCUAUAGGUUUCACCGGAAGAGUCGAUGUUUACGCGUAAGUUUGUUUUCAUAUUAUUACUAUUUUACAUUUACUUUUUAGACUUAAAUUAAAAAUUUAUUGCCACGGGCAAUCUGUUAACUGGGUGACGUAGAAGCAUUUAUAAGUUUAAUCCCAAAAGCACAAUAUAUAAAAUACGCGAGACUGAACAGUCCAAAGACCGUCGCGCGUCGUCAUUUCACCACGCCCAUAAUAUGGUCUCCAUACACACUAGGUCCAAUUUAUUCUAUUGAGGCGAUUCAAAAUCGUUUCUUGAGACUUAUAUCCAUCAAGUGUAAUAUUAAACGUUUGCCUCACACUUCAUAUGAACCAUUGUUACUAUAUCUAAACAUUGAUACUCUUCAAAACAGAAGGAUUAAAAACGAUAUUAGCUUUAUAUUUAAACUAUUAAAUGGAUAUAUUUACUGUCCUGAUCUUUUGUCAAAUAUAUCAUUUCUAGUUCCUGGUCAUUCAACUAGACAGACAGACACCUUUUAUGUGCCAUUCCAGCGCGCUUUAUAUGUUGUGUAUUCUGGAGCGUUUCCUCAUCGGCGCGCGGCAUUGCAGCUCACACACGUCACGGACUCCACCGAAACAGUCGAUAAUUAAAGAAGAAAUGGUAUUCGUCAGAGAAGAUUUUCAAUUGGGAAUAAUAUAUCAUAAGCAGACUGAAAUGUGCGAACGUUGCAGUGUUUCGAAGACUCAAAUUAUAUAGCAGAUUUUCAUUCGGACACGGUGUAUGUAUUUACUUAUUUUUCAGUAGGUUUCUUUUUAUUAUUGUUAAUUGAUCAGGAUAUGUAUUCCUCGCAACUUUUCAAUUAUUUGUAUUGUAACUAUACUGGUAUAACACUAUUCUGGCUAUCAAUAAAGUCGUGAUAAAAAUUAGGAAAUGGUCAGGUGUAAUAUUUUUUUGUUAUGUAAUUCUUUUGAGUAGAUAAUUGGCUCAAUGAUAUUUAAAUAUUUUCACUGCUGAUCAAGUACAAUGACUUGUAGGUGACUAGAGACUGAGUGAAUAGGAAUUAGGAAAUGUAUGAUAUGGUGAGGAUAAGGAAAGAGGUCAACAGGAUUUCAGAAUGUUUGGCGUAUGAAAGGGAAAGACGAAAAAAAAUCUAAGGUAAGGUUAGGUUAGCGGAUUGUGUGUAGCAGAUAUGAAAAUAUUAAGUUGGGUGUGUAAGGAACAAAGGAAGAUAUAAUAGGAAAUGUAUUAAUUAAAGGUAGUGUAGUGUUGUAGAGUGGCAUAUAUAUACUGUAGUGAAUAUAAGAGAGAUUAGAUUGAGGUAGACCGAAGUCACUGUAUAUGAUAAGGGUAUAGUGAGAGUGAAUAAAGAAGUAAAUGUAGAGGGAAAGUGAUGGUUGAGAAGACUUAAGAAGAGAUGGAUAGACUGCAGAAUUCCCAUCAUAUAUGGAGGUGUGGGAAGAGGGUGGCUGAGUCUGUAUAAUUGUGUGAGAAGGGGGAAGAAGGACUUAAAGGAGUGUGAAGGUACAAUAGUUAGGUUAACAAUAUCGAAUACGUAGGAAAGAAUCUUAAAUUGCAAAGGCCACUCGACUUUUUGUCUGAAACUACCAAGUUAAUAUAGUUAUUAAAACACUUUGAAUAAAAAGAUCCUGAGUUGGUUGCUUAACUUCAGUGUUUGAUUAUUAAGUUGAUAAUUUGAUUGUAGACACCUCUUAAGCUUAGAUCAAUUAAUACUAUGGAUGGAGCCAUGACCAGCUCACUCGUGUAAACAAUUUGAAGCACAUAAUAUAUGCCACGAGUCUCUGACAUUUUUUUGGAUACAUAUCAAUUCACAUAGAUAAAUAUGAGACAUUUUUCUUUGCGUACGUAUCUUAGUCAGAUACUUGUCGCUAAUAUAUGCUUUAAAUUAUCUGGAUAUGGGCCCAUUCUGAUAUGUAUCCAUAAAAAUGCCAGAGACUCGUCGCAUAUAUUAUGUGCUUCAAAUUGUUUACACGAGUGAGCUGGGUGUGGCUCCAUCCAUAGUAUUAAUUGAUCUAAGCUUAAGGUAUCUACAAUCAAAUGAUCAACUUGAUAAUCAAACACUGAAGUUCGGCAACCAACUCAGGAUCUUUUUAUUCAAAGUGUCCUAAUAAGUCAUAAGAAGGUUAGUUGAAGCUAUGGUGAUGAUAGAUGACUAUCAUCACUGGUCGUGAGCUUUGCAAUGAUCUUUUCCUACUAACUAUACAGGUAUUCGAUAUUGUAAACAUAACAAUGAAAGAAAAUAUUUAAAUAUUAUUAAUUUGGUUAGGAUAGGAUCCUGUCCUAUAAGACAUCAUAGUUUUUAACACGGUCUUAAAGACUGCCAGCUAGAGUUGUACCAGUGUCCAGUAUAGGUAAUUAAAAGCUUAAAUAGAGCCAGCCUUAAUUAAUGAUUUUUUUACCACAACAAAUUAUAAAAUGUAUUUUAAAAUAUAGCAAAAUAUUAUUUUAUAAGAGCUUAUGAGGUUUUCAAUACUUAUAAGUUUUUGUAAAUAGAAAGUUUAUAAAAUCGAUAGAGUUUUAAUUUAAAAUAUCGAUUUGUGUUUUAAUAUCCUAUUGUCAAAGAAUUCUCAAAGUUUCC